rnacentral:rRNA from 1 species
AGCUUGCUCUUAUGAAGUUAGCGGCGGACGCGGUGAGUAACACGUGGGUAACCUGCCCAUAAGACUGGGAUAACUCCGGGAAACCGGGGCUAAUACCGGAUAACAUUUUGAACCGCAUGGUUCGAAAUUGAAAGGCGGCUUCGGCUGUCACUUAUGGAUGGACCCGCGUCGCAUUAGCUAGUUGGUGAGGUAACGGCUCACCAAGGCAACGAUGCGUAGCCGACCUGAGAGGGUGAUCGGCCACACUGGGACUGAGACACGGCCCAGACUCCUACGGGAGGCAGCAGUAGGGAAUCUUCCGCAAUGGACGAAAGUCUGACGGAGCAACGCCGCGUGAGUGAUGAAGGCUUUCGGGUCGUAAAACUCUGUUGUUAGGGAAGAACAAGUGCUAGUUGAAUAAGCUGGCACCUUGACGGUACCUAACCAGAAAAGCCACGGCUAACUACGUGCCAGCAGCCGCGGUAAUACGUAGGUGGCAAAGCGUUAUCCGGAAUUAUUGGGCGUAAAGCGCGCGCAGGUGGUUUCUUAAGUCUGAUGUGAAAGCCCACGGCUCAACCGUG